GCCAGCAUGGCAUAGUGGUCUGAGCAUUGGACUAUGACUCUGAAGACCAGGGUUCGAUUCCCAGCUUGGCC
rnacentral:tRNA from 1 species